rnacentral:rRNA from 1 species
CUGCUGCCUCCCGUAGGAGUCUGGUCCGUGUCUCAGUACCAGUGUGGGGGACCUUCCUCUCAGAACCCCUACCGCAUCGUCGCCACGGUGGGCCGGUUACCCCGCCCGUCUAGCUAAUGCGCCGCAUGCCCAUCCUCUUCCGAUGAAUCUUUCCUCGAUCUCGGAUGCCCGAAACCGAUAUACGCGGGAUUAGCCUCCCUUUCGGAAGGUUGUCCCCCUGAAGAGGGCAGGUUGCAUACGUGUUACUCACCCGUGCGCCGGUCGCCGG